GUAGGUGGCAAGCGUUGUCCGGAAUUAUUGGGCGUAAAGCGCGCGCAGGCGGUUCUUUAAGUCUGAUGUGAAAGCCCACGGCUCAACCGUGGAGGGUCAUUGGAAACUGGAGAACUUGAGUACAGAAGAGGAAAGCGGAAUUCCACGUGUAGCGGUGAAAUGCGUAGAGAUGUGGAGGAACACCAGUGGCGAAGGCGGCUUUCUGGUCUGUAACUGACGCUGAGGCGCGAAAGCGUGGGGAGCAAACAGGGAUUAGAUACCCUGGUAGUCCACGCCGUAAACGAUGAGUGCUAAGUGUUAGAGGGUUUCCGCCCCCCUUAGUGCUGCAGCUAACGCAUUAAGCACUCCGCCUGGGAUACGGCCGCAAGGCUG
rnacentral:rRNA from 1 species